rnacentral:rRNA from 1 species
CCGGGGUUUCUUUACCAGGUACCGUCAUUAUCUUCCCUGGCGAAAGAGCUUUACGACCCUAAGGCCUUCGUCACUCACGCGGCAUGGCUAGAUCAGGGUUUCCCCCAUUGUCUAAGAUUCCCCA